GGUCCAGACUGGUGAACCGGACCUGCAGGAGGUUUCAGGCUGUAGAACCAGUUAAACUGAAGAGCUGAGAGGAAAGCGGGACAUGGAGGAACUUGAGCUGGUCGUGUUCUGGGUUCACAGGUUCUGGUUUUCUAGGUUUUCUGGUUUUCUGGUUUCAUCCCGGUUUGGGUUCUCCGGUCCGUUUCUCUCAGCCAGCUGAGCCUCUUAUCUCUCUGCUCAGGUCAGACCUGGACUCCCGUCCUGAAGCAGAUCCACAGACGGCUGACUAAGUUUAACUUUAACUGUUUUAUGGACCUUCAGGUGAAAUCUGCAGCUUCAGGACAGAAUCUGGUGAUCUGUAGAUCCCGCCUGAUCUCUGUCAGCGCUGCUCGGGAUUCUGGGAUCUGUUAUUAAUGUCUGACUGAACUGAUGGAUUAAUAAACCUGGAUUCAUCCACCCUGUUUAUUUUAGAUGCUUUAAAAGCUCAUUUUACUUCAUUCAUGUGAUUUUAUUCAGAUGUGUUUUGAAAUAUCAAAUUUAUUUCAUCGUUUUUGUUUAAGCUGCUUUUGAUGAAACUUCUGUGGAGAAACAAACUUUUUUUACAAAAAUGUAAAUAAUUCCUGUUUAUUUAUUAUUGUAUAAUUUAUUAAUUGGUCAUUAAGUUGUUAUUUAUGCCCAACAUUCAGUUAUUAUUGAUCAUUUUAUUCAUAAAGUCAAAUGAGACGCAGGCGCCCCCUGGUGGACAAACUACCAGCUGUGACCUUCUGACGUCAUUUAGUUGGAAAAAAGUCACUGAUGUUAAACUAACUGGUUUGAAUCCAGUUUGACCAGUUUAACUCAUCAGGAUCCAAACUGGGAGCCUCUGUGAAGAUUUCCUGAUAUUUUAUUUCUUUAUGCAAAUAAAAACAUGUAACUAAUGAAGCAGGUAAAAUUAUUAUCCUGAUUUUAACAUUUCAUAGCUGAUUCAUGUUUUCAUUAAAUGUUUUUGCAUCAGGAAUAAAUUCAGUUUUUGUUGCUUUAACUUCAUAAACUUUAACUGUCAGUUCAGACCAAUCUGGUCCAGGAACGCAGUGAAGCUGCUGUUGUCAUGGCAACAGCCGGUUCCGGUGGUGGGCGGGGCUUCAGGGUUCUGGUGGAUUCGGG